ACGUUCGACCUCGAAUCAUGUAGGAUUACCCGCUGAACUUAAGCAUAUCAAUAAGCGGAGGAAAAGAAACCAACCGGGAUUGCCCUAGUAACGGCGAGUGAAGCGGCAAAAGCUCAAAUUUGAAAUCUGGCGCUUUGCGUCCGAGUUGUAAUUUGUAGAGGAGCGAUCGGUGAAGCCUAGGUCCAAGUCUGCUGGAAGGCAGCGCCAUUGAGGGUGACAGCCCCGUACGACUGAUGGUGAAGCCAUGUGAUCGCCCUUCGAAGAGUCGAGUUGUUUGGGAAUGCAGCUCAAAGCGGGUGGUAAAUUCCAUCUAAAGCUAAAUAUUGGCCAGAGACCGAUAGCGCACAAGUAGAGUGAUCGAAAGAUGAAAAGCACUUUGGAAAGAGAGUGAAACAGUACGUGAAAUUGUUGAAAGGGAAGCGCUUGCGAUCAGACUUGACCCGCACGUUCCCCCGUUCCUUGUGGACGGGAUACUCGUGUGGAGCAGGCCAGCAUCAGUUCGGACGGUCGGAUAAAGGCUGGAGGAAAGUAGCUUUCACUUGUGGAAGUGUUAUAGCCUCUGGCACAAUACGGCCUGACCGGACUGAGGACAGCGUUCGCUAGGAUGCUGGCG
rnacentral:rRNA from 1 species